AUUAGGUCAGAAAAGAGAUCAGUGGAGCCAGCAGAGAAUAAAAAGAGGAAGAAAAAGAAGAAGUAGAAGAGGGAGAGAAUCAAGGGGGGAGCAAUAGAGAGACAACCACUUGAUACUCCUCAGCAUCAUCGUUGCUUUUGAGGCACAACGGAAGGGCCCUACAAAUUUCUCUUUAGAUGGCCAUCUUGAUUCCCCAUUUCCAGUAGAAUCACAGAAAUCCUUCGCCAUGGUUAAGAAUUAUUUGUCUUGUAAAAUGUGCAUGCUCUGAGAUCUUUUACCUUUUUGACUGAGAAUUAAAGCUAAAGGGGGCCUGAAUUCAAUUCUUUACCUCUCUGUUGACUCCUCUUCAUCUGUUCAACACCUUUAAUUAUACUGUCCAUUAGAUUGAUGAAUCCACACGCCAAAUGUGGUCUUGACAAUCACAAAAUACUAAAGAUGUUCUUAUUCCUGUUCAUUUACGCCAUUUCCCCUUUCAUGUCCACCUUCCGUUUUUAAAAAUACUACUUUGUUAUAAACAAUGUUUUGUUCUAUUCUCCAACUAAUAUGAGAUCUCACAAUUCACCUCCUUCGGGGCCUAGCGUCCUUACUGACACACUACCUUAUGUCCACCUCCUUCGGGACUUAGCCUCCUCACUGGCACAUCGUCCAGUAUCCCGCUCUGAUAUCGCUUGUAACGGCUUAAGUCCACUACUGACAAAUAUUGUUAUAUUUGGAGUUUAUC